rnacentral:rRNA from 1 species
GACGAACGCUGGCGGCGUGCUUAACACAUGCAAGUCGAACGGAAAGGCCUGCUUUCCCUUGUGGAUUGCGGGUACUCGAGUGGCGAACGGGUGAGUAACACGUGAGUGAUCUGCCCCCAACUUGGGUAUAAGCCUGGGAAACUGGGUCUAAUUCCCGAUAGGACUGCAGGGUGGUGCCUGUGGUGGAAAACGAUUUUCUAGUGGUUGGGGAUGAGCUCGCGGCCUAUCAGCUUGUUGGUGGGGUAAUGGCCUACCAAGGCGGCGACGGGUAGCCGGCCUGAGAGGGUGGACGGGCACAUUGGGACUGAGAUACGGCCCAGACUCCUACGGGAGGCAGCAGUGGGGAAUAUUGCACAAUGGGCGGAAGCCUGAUGCAGCGACGCAGCGUGGGGGAUGACGGCCUUCGGGUUGUAAACUCCUUUCGACCGCGAGGAAGCCACCUGGUUGGAAGGGUGGUGACGGUAGUGGUAGAAGAAGCACCGGCUAACUACGUG